GAUGAAGAACGCAGCGAAAUGCGAUAAGUAAUGUGAAUUGCAGAAUUCAGUGAAUCAUCGAAUCUUUGAACGCACAUUGCGCCCGCCAGUAUUCUGGCGGGCAUGCCUGUUCGAGCGUCAUUUCAACCAUCAAGCCCCCGGCUUGUGUUGGGGACCUGCGGCUGCCGCAGGCCCUGAAAACCAGUGGCGGGCUCGCUGUCACACCGAGCGUAGUAGAUUUUCAUCUCGCUCAGGGCGUGCUGCGGGUUCCGGCCGUAAAAAACCUUAUUUACCCAAGGUUGACCUCGGAUCAGGUAGGAAGACCCGCUGAACUUAAGCAUAUCAAUAAGCGGAGGA
rnacentral:misc_RNA from 1 species